AGAUAUAACAAUGGCUUUAGUGGCGGACUGGUGAGUAACACGUAAGAAACCUGCCUUUCAGAGGGGGACAACAGUUGGAAACGACUGCUAAUACCGCAUGACACAUAGAUGUCGCAUGGCAUUUAUGUCAAAGAUUUAUCGCUGAAAGAUGGCCUCGCGUCUGAUUAGCUAGUUGGUGAGGUAACGGCCCACCAAGCCGACGAUCGGUAGCCGACCUGAGAGGGUGAUCGGCCACAUUGGGACUGAGACACGGCCCAAACUCC
rnacentral:rRNA from 1 species